UUGAGAUAACUGGGAAAAAAUGGUCCAGUAAUCUUGAAUUAACCCUACAUCAGGGGUUAUCAACUCUAACUAAUCCUCGAGGUCGACUUUCCAGCAUAGUUUAGCUCCAUAUUUGAUCAAAUUCACCUGCUUGUGACUUUCUAGUAAUCCUGAAGGCCUUGAUUAGCUUGUUCAGGUGUGUUUGAUUAGGGUUAGAGCUAAACUCUGCUCAGCCCUGUUCCUGGGGACCCACUGUCCUGCAGACUUCAGCUCCAACCCUAAUCAAACACAUUAGAACCAGCCAAUCAAGGUCUUCAGGGUCUUUUGAAAAGUCACAGACCAGGUGUGCUGAAGAAGGUUGGAAAAAAACUUUGCAAGACAGUGGGUCCUGAGGAGCAGGGUUGAAGAGAGUUGACCUCUUGGGUUAAUUCAGGAUGGCUGGACCUGCAGGAAAAGCCAGAAAUGAGAAACCCUGCCCUACAAAGUGCAUAGCCUGUGCCAGGUAUUUGUUGAAAUUCCACACACCCCGCAGGGAGAGUAAUAUAUGCCGGUUGUUGCUUUACACUGGACCUCCUUCAUCUUAUGAGUCAUCUCCAUCUUACAGGAAGAACAUGUGUCUGCUGACCCAACCGCUCGUGUGCUUCAAAGAUCUAGAAACCAGUAGAGCUCCUCAACUUCAAGAUCACUUUAUAAAUAAUUGAAAUAAAUUAACAUGAAUAGAUAUUCUGUAUAAUAAAUCUCGGUUAUGUGAAAGACUGAGGAUUUUAUUUUUUAUUAUUUUAUAUUUUAUUUUAUUUUAUUUUCCCUUUUUUUUUUUUUUGUUGAUUUCCACCAAAAUUAUAUAAAAACAAGUAAAAACAGUCACCAUAAUCAAAACUGUAUGGAGCACAGGUAUCACUUUCCCAAUGUUUGGUUUCCCUUCUUGGUUUAACAAAAGUUCAAAGGGAUAGUUUACUUAAAAAUGAAUAUUCUGUCAUCAUUUAUUAACCCUCAUGUCAUUCCAAACCUGAUGGGUUUUCAGUCUUCUGUAGAGUACAAAAGAAGAUAUUCUAAAGAAUGGUUUUUCCAUGCAUUCUCAGAAAAAAAGGUACAAAAGGUGUCACUGGAAUAGUACCUUUCCAAAAGGCACACCUAAAGGGUCCAUAUUGGUAUCUUAAAGGUUCAUGUCAGAGUUUUCCUCAAUCGCUUUGGCACAUUUUUUGAAACAGACUUAACUGUAAGAGCAAUGCUUCAAAACCACCAGAUAAAAAGUGUUUUUGUCAUUGUGUGAACCAUGCUGGUUUAAAAUCUUUAGAUGCUUUUUCAACAUAAAAAUGUUAGUUAAUAUGCAAGUUUCAUUUUGUUAUAUGCAUUUUUUUCCCCCCCAUAUUUGUUAUAUGCAAAUUUUUCUC
rnacentral:lncRNA from 1 species